AAUUUUAUCAUUUUAAGAAUGAUUUUGGAGUCAUUUUCAUUUAUUUACUAUGGCAGUGUUUAACCUGCACACCGCCCCUUUUUGUACCUCUUGUGUUGCCGUAGUUUGUUUUUUUCCCCUCCCACCCUCACAAUGCUGCUGUGUAUUGCUGAGGGGGUCGGAUGUGCAGUGCAGGCAGAAGACAACAUAAUUGUGUUUAAUUGUCUUCUCCAGGUGGCUCUGUUGACUAUAUAAAGUGAAGGAAAGCAGCUCUUGGUGUCGUCUCAAUUUCAUUGAGUGAAAGUAGAUCCGUUACACUGGUGCCGUGACUCCUUGGAUCUCCAGAUCAGCUUGAUGCCGGUCGCCGUGGAUGCUGUGUUGCUGAUCUAGUCUACACUUCAAGAUCAAAGUGGGGUCAGAGAGAGAAAGAAAACAAAACAAAACA